rnacentral:rRNA from 1 species
GACACGGCCCAGACUCCUACGGGAGGCAGCAGUGGGGAAUAUUGCACAAUGGGCGCAAGCCUGAUGCAGCAACGCCGCGUGAGGGACGAAGGCCUUCGGGUUGUAAACCUCUUUUAGCAGGGAAGAAGCGAAAGUGACGGUACCUGCAGAAAAAGCACCGGCUAACUACGUGCCAGCAGCCGCGGUAAUACGUAGGGCGCAAGCGUUGUCCGGAAUUAUUGGGCGUAAAGAGCUCGUAGGCGGUUUGUCGCGUCUGCUGUGAAAAUCCGAGGCUCAACCUCGGACCUGCAGUGGGUACGGGCAAACUAGAGUGCGGUAGGGGAGAUUGGAAUUCCUGGUGUAGCGGUGGAAUGCGCAGAUAUCAGGAGGAACACCAAUGGCGAAGGCAGAUCUCUGGGCCGUAACUGACGCUGAGGAGCGAAAGCGUGGGGAGCGAACAGGAUUAGAUACCCCGGUAGUCCACGCCGUAAACGGUGGGAACUAGAUGUGGGGUCCGUUCCACGGAUUCCGUGUCGCAGCUAACGCAUUAAGUUCCCCGCCUGGGGAGUACGGCCGCAAGGCUAAAACUCAAAGGAAUUGACGGGGGCCCGCACAAGCGGCGGAGCAUGCGGAUUAAUUCGAUGCAACGCGAAGAACCUUACCAAGGCUUGACAUAUAGAGGAAAAGCGUAGAAAUACGCUCCCCGCAAGGUCUCUAUACAGGUGGUGCAUGGUUGUCGUCAGCUCGUGUCGUGAGAUGUUGGGUUAAGUCCCGCAACGAGCGCAACCCUCGUCCUAUGUUGCCGGCACGUAAUGGUGGGAACUCAUGGGAUACUGCCGGGGUCAACUCGGAGGAAGGUGGGGAUGACGUCAAAUCAUCAUGCCCCUUAUGUCUUGGGCUUCACGCAUGCUACAAUGGCCGGUACAGAGGGCUGCAAUACCGCAAGGUGGAGCGAAUCCCAAAAAGCCGGUCUCAGUUCGGAUUGAGGUCUGCAACUCGACCUCAUGAAGUUGGAGUCGCUAGUAAUCGUGGAUCAGCAACGCCACGGUGAAUACGUUCCCGGGCCCUGUACACACCGCCCGUCAAGUCAUGAAAGUCGGUAACACCCGAAGCCGGUGGCCCAACCGCAAGGAGGGAGCUGUCGAAGGUGGGAUCGGUGAUUAGGACU